AGGAUUCUGGACCAUUUGUUGUACGCUUACUGUAAGAUGGCUGUUCAGCCCAUAAUAUUGGUGGAAAUCUUGAUUCAACUGUAACAUAGUCUGCAAAUUUGGAACAUCUCGGUUCUUUAGAUGCUUCAGCCAUCAUAUCUUCAACAAAUGAGUCUUCAACAUCUGAAUCCGGAAGAAAAGAAAGUCCGAAAAAUUUGUGCAACAUUUUCCUACUUCAG
rnacentral:lncRNA from 1 species